GGAUGUGAGGGUAAUCUGGCUGCUACAUCUGUCACUCCAUUGAUCGCCAGGGUUGAUUCAGCUGAUGUGGCUGGCUAGGCAGGUGUCCCCUUCCUCCCUCACCGCUCCAUGUGCAUCCCUCCCGAAGCUGUGCACUCAGUCAAGGAGGACGACCAUCCCCGCUAGAGGAGGACCGGUCUUCAGUCAAGGGUAUACGAGUAGCUGCACUCCCCUGCUAGAACCUCCAAACAAGCUCUCAAGGUCCACAAUUCCAAUGGUAUAGUUAUUACAUUAAUAGAAAACUUUCAGUGCUUUGGGUAUAUUU
ensembl:misc_RNA 7SK 7SK RNA